GUGGGGAAUCUUCCGCAAUGGACGAAAGUCUGACGGAGCAACGCCGCGUGAGUGAAGAAGGUUUUCGGAUCGUAAAGCUCUUUCGUUAGGGACGAACGUGCUCUUUCUGAAUAAUGAGGAGUAAUGACGGUACCUAAAUAAGAAGCCACGGCUAACUACGUGCCAGCAGCCGCGGUAAUACGUAGGUGGCAAGCGUUGUCCGGAAUUAUUGGGCGUAAAGCGCGCGCAGGCGGGAUAUCAAGUCUGUCUUAAAAGUGCGAGGCUCAACCUCGUGAGGGGACAGAAACUGGUAUUCUUGAGUGUCGGAGAGGAAAGUGGAAUUCCAAGUGUAGCGGUGAAAUGCGUAGAGAUUUGGAUGAACACCAGUGGCGAAGGCGACUUUCUGGACGAUGUCUGACGCUGAGGCGCGAAAGCUAGGGGAGCGAACGGGAUUAGAAACCCUAGUAGUCC
rnacentral:rRNA from 1 species